AAGGUUUCCUCAGGUUCCGGCGGUGGCGCGACGGCGGGUUUGGGACCCGAACCAACCCAGAUCUUCCGAGGCUCGCGAGAGCGCCCCCCUUCUCUAGCUAUUUGGGGGACCCAGCGGCCGCGAUGGCUCCGGUGUCGGGUUCGCGCAGCCCUGAGGGGGAGGCCUCGGGCUCCGGGGGGAAGCGUCGCAGUUCGUCGAGAAGCCCUAAGCCCAGCAGAUCCGCCCGCUCCCCGCGGGGCCGUCGCUCGCGCUCUCGUUCGCACUCUUGCUCUCGGAAUGGUGUCAGCCAUCAGCCGGGCGGCUUCAGUCAGGGGUCCCGAAACCAGUCCUACCGAUCCCGUUCGCGGUCAUGCUCCCGGGAGCGGCCCUCUGCGCCGCGGGGCAACCCCUUCGCUUCAGCCUCCUCGACCGCGUAUUAUGGCGGCUACUCGCGCCCCUACGGGAGCGACAAGCCGUGGCCUAGCCUUCUGGACAAGGAGAGGGAGGAGAGCCUGCGGCAGAAGAGAUUAAGUGAGAGAGAGAGGAUUGGAGAAUUGGGAGCUCCUGAAGUAUGGGGACUUUCUCCAAAGAAUCCAGAACCAGACUCUGACGAACACACACCAGUAGAGGAUGAUGAGCCAAAGAAAAGCACCACUUCAGCUUCUACUUCAGAAGAAGAGAAGAAGAAGAAGAAGAGGAAGUCUAGUCGUUCGAAAGAAAGGUCCAAGAAAAAGAGAAAGAAAAAAUCCUCUAAAAGAAAACACAAGAAGUAUUCUGAUGACAGCGACAGUGACUCUGACUGUGACUCAGACUCCAGCGAUGAGGAUACAAAAAGAAGAGCAAAGAAAGCCAAGAAAAAGGAAAAGAAGAAGAAACAUAGAUCGAAGAAAUACAAGAAAAAGAAGUCUAAGAAGAGUAGAAAAGAUUCCAGUGAUUCAAGCUCUAAAGAUUCCCAGGAAGAGUUUCUGGAGAAUCCCUGGAAGGAUCGGUCAAAGCCUGAAGAACCCUCAGAUUUAAUUGGCCCAGAGGCUCCAAAAACACUUGCCUCUCAGGAUGAUAAACCUUUGAACUAUGGCCAUGCGCUGUUACCUGGUGAGGGUGCAGCUAUGGCUGAAUAUGUAAAAGCAGGGAAACGUAUCCCAAGAAGAGGUGAAAUUGGCUUGACAAGUGAAGAAAUCGCAUCAUUUGAAUGCUCGGGUUAUGUAAUGAGUGGUAGCAGGCAUCGCCGAAUGGAGGCCGUGCGACUGCGGAAAGAGAACCAGAUCUAUAGUGCUGAUGAGAAGAGAGCCCUGGCGUCCUUUAACCAAGAAGAGAGGCGAAAGAGAGAAAACAAGAUUCUGGCCAGUUUUCGAGAGAUGGUAUACAGAAAAACUAAAGGGAAAGAUGACAAAUAAGGAUUUUCUGAUUGUUCAGCAUUUUUAACAAAAAAAGAAAGUCUGGGUUCCACAUAUACAUACAAAAAGAUUACUAUGAUCUGAAAAAGCUUUACAGUGCUACUGUGCCUUCUAUUUAAUUCUUUCAGUCCUUCAAUAGAAAGCUGCUUAUUGAUAUAAUUUUAGCAAGUUCUUUGGGUUAUUUUUGGAUUGACCAUAAUAACUCUCUGGUUUAAAAAUCCAAAUUACGAAUGAAAUCAUACUGUACUUGGGGAGGUGGCAUUGAGAGAAAGUGUCAGUAAGAUGAGAAACUUAACUCUCACACCAUGGGACAGUGCUACUAUUAGCUCUACAUGAUGCCCGUCCCCCACUCCCACCCCAACUGAACUUGUGGGAAAUCAUCAUUCCUCUAUGUUGAACGUGUUAUAAAUGGACUUGAUAGAAACAUACAGGAGGCCACUUUUGUUAACAGGGUGAAGGCAUUGCUGAAAAAAGCAAAUCUGGAAUUUGAAAAUCGACUUGUAUAAUAUAUAGUCUGCCUUGGAAAUCAUGUAUUUUGGUUUUAGUCCCUACCUCUACCCCAAAUCCAACAAACAAGCCAAAAACCAAACUAACCCACAGACUUAAUGAGUUGAAAAUGUGAAUGUUAGUGUUUUAAGUUCUUAAAAGGUUCCUUAAAAAUGGUUCUUCAAAUAUAAAAUACUGGGAAGUGUACUGUUGUGCCAAUGUAAGUAGAUUAUUUCCAUCUAAGCUAUGCUUAGAUCGUUAUUUGAAUACUGGAAAUGAAUGGGCGUCAACUAUGGUUAGGAGUUUAAUAGGGAAAAAUAUAUUGAAGUGUUGGUUUUAAUUUAGUUUUAUAAGGAUGAAGUUAAAAUGAUAUUAAACGUAUUUUAAGUCUGUCCUUUAUGUAAUAAGCAUAUUUCAUUUUAAACAUUGUUAAACGUUUCAGUUUAUUUUUUAUAUCUGUCAUUCAGUUUAACUUUGUAUAGAACCCCUCACUUUAUCACCUUUUUAUGGCUACUGUUGACUUUUAAGUUUGAGAGAAAUGGAAAAUUCUGGGACUAGCAGUUCAUGAUCUUUUUUCUUCCCAUUAUUUUGUUCAGUUUGAGUUGUUAGGUCACAAGAGUGAAGAGAAAGGGGACAGUAGAAGUUUUGGCUGUUUUUGUUAAGGUUGUUUUGAGCUGUGUUAUUAUGUGUCUAGAAUAAAUCUAAAUUACCUGGGGGAUGGGGAAGUUCUAACUCUGUGGUCAUAAAAUGCUCUCUCUUAUAAUAGUUUAAAGUGUUUUUUUCCAAAGUUUUAAAAUAAGGCAGUCAUAUUUCAAAGUAUAGAUAAAAAGUUUUACUAUUUAACAUAUGUUCUAGGAAAGUGUCUACCUUUAACCCACAACUAAGGAACUAAACCAUUUGGCGUGUAGCAACAUUUAUGACUCCUGAAGAUGAAGUGAUUUCUGUUUAUCAUCAUUGCUGCCUAACCUGAUCAAUAUCUUGUUUCCUAAAGGCACUGUGCUUGGGACCAGACCUGCUCCUCUGAUGACCCAAACCCUGGAUUUGUGGAUGUUAUUUGGAUUCCUUUCACACCAGCUAUCAACAUACUUCAUAUUCCUGGUCUACCUGGUUGGCUACCCGCAGUCAUUCCUUCAAGUAUUUAUUGAGUGCCUAUUACUUGCCAGGCCUCAUUUUACAGCAAAACAGAAAUUCCUGCCUUUGUGGAGCUUAUAUUCUGGUAGGGGGAACAGACAAUAACAAGAUAAUAAAUUACGUAGACUAUCAGAAGGUAAGAAAGUGUUAGGGAGAAAAAGCAAAAGCAUGGAGGAAGGGAUAAAAGUGUGACGUAGGAGGUGAGAGCAGGGUGUGCACAUACCUAGGUGAGAGUGUUCCAGUCAGAGGGAACAGCAGAUGCAGAGGCCCUGAGGUGGGACUCUACCUGGAUUAUUGAAGUCACAAGA